CUUCACCGAGCCCAGCCACAGCGGCCCAUCAGCACGGUCCUGGCCAUAGGUGGCCAGCAACGCCUGCGCCUC
rnacentral:antisense_RNA from 1 species